UUUCCGUAGGUGAACCUGCGGAAGGAUCAUUACUGAGUGAGGGCCCUCUGGGUCCAACCUCCCACCCGUGUUUAUUAUACCUUGUUGCUUCGGUGAGCCCGCCUCACGGCCGCCGGGGGGCAUCUGCCCCCGGGCCCGCGCCCACCGAAGACACCUAGAACUCUGUAUGAAGAUUGCAGUCUGAGCAAGAACUAAAUAAGUUAAAACUUUCAACAACGGAUCUCUUGGUUCCG
rnacentral:misc_RNA from 1 species